rnacentral:tRNA from 1 species
GCUGCUUUAGCUUAGUUGAUAGAGCGUCCGAGUACAAAUCUUAUAGUCGCGUGUUCGAAUCCCACCAUCAGUC